CCACAUUACUCUGAAACACCGGUUCUGGUACGAAGUUAAGCAUCAUCGAGCCUCGUUAGUACUAAGAUGGGUGACCGAUUAGGAAUAUCAUGUGCUGUAA